AUGCUGUUCAUAGUAGUCCUUGAAUUUCCUGUAAAUUUUUCCAAGCUUCCGGGAGUCACAGAAUCGUUUAGGUUGGAAAAGACCCUGAAGAUUAUCAAGCCCAUCAACCAGCUAUUUGUGAGGAGACCAAACAUUAUGUGGCAUUCAAGAAGAUGCAUAUGGUUUUCAUAUGGUUCUAACGCUAUGCAUCAUUGGGCAAGAUUUCAACUACUGGGCAAGAUUAUCAUUAAGGAAGAAAUAGCAGUGUGACCACCAUAGAUUCUCAUGCUUCUGUUUAAAAAUUUUGCAUAGUUUUUUAACAGGUCCAGAUCCUUAAGAAGCUAUCACAAAUGGACUCCUCUGGGAUAUGAAGCUCCCUGCUCUUAUCAGAAAGUAAUUUAUGCUAAGGUUUUCCUAGUUUCUAUGAACACAUAUUUGCUUGCUACACUUAAAAAAAUAUAGGUGCUUUCUAUAAAAGCUACUAAAUACAGAUUCCUUCUUCAAGCAGUGAUUGGCUGCACUAAAACAUAAAGUUUCUUUUGCUCACCUUGUGCCCAUGUAAUGACAGGCAGAGAGCAAAGCCAUGUCUCCAAAAGAGUGGUUAAGACUGCUGGUUAAAGCAGACUCUCAUCAGUGUGUACAAAUACCUGAAGAAGCAGUGAAGAUAGAAGCAGGCUCUUUUCAGUGGUACACAGUGACAAACAGGACAAGAGGCAACAGACACUCACUGGAGUAUAAGAAGUUCCCUUUGGACAACAGAAGUCAAUAAUUCUUUACUGUGAGAGUGAUGGAGCACUGGCAUAGGUUUCUCAUAGAGGUCGUGGACUCCCUCCUUGGAGAUCUUCAAAAGCUGCUUGGACAUGGCCCUGUGUUUCCUGUACUGUUCAUGAACUUCCUAUAAGAUUUUCAUAAUUUCUAAAAAAGGGCUAAGAGUCACAGAACCCACAGGUUGGACAAGACCCGUAAGGUUAUCAAGUCCAACUGUUAACCUGACAUACUGAGUGCCAUCACCAAAUCACAUCCCUAAGUGCCAUGUUCACAUGUCACUGAACUACCUUCAGGGAUGGGGAUUCCACCAGUUCCCUGGGAAGCCUGUUCCAAUACGUAACCACCCUCCCUUUAAAGAAAUUCUUCUUGGCAUUCAACCUAAACCUCUUCUGGCAUGACUUGAGGCCAUUUCCUUGCAUCCUAACAGUUGUCACCUGAAAAAAUGCACCAACGCUCUCCUUGCUGCAAUUUCCUUUCAGGUAACUAGCUGUAGAGUAUUAUG
rnacentral:lncRNA from 1 species